rnacentral:rRNA from 1 species
CAGUCGCCGCGGUAAUACGAAGGGUGCAAGCGUUAAUCGGAAUUACUGGGCGUAAAGCGCGCGUAGGUGGUUUGUUAAGUUGGAUGUGAGAUCCCCGGGCUCAACCUGGGAACCGCAUUCAAAACUGACUGACUAGAGUAUGGUAGAGGGUGGUGGAAUUCCCGGUGUAGCGGUGAAAUGCGUAGAGAUCGGGAGGAACAUCAGUGGCGAAGGCGGCCAUCUGGGACAACACUGACGCUGAGGCACGAAAACGUGGGGAGCAAACAGGAUUAGAUACCCCCGUAGUCCCUGUCUCUUAUAC